UACGGGGGGGGCAAGCGUUGUUCGGAAUUACUGGGCGUAAAGGGCUCGUAGGUGGCCAACUAAGUCAGACGUGAAAUCCCUCGGCUUAACCGGGGAACUGCGUCUGAUACUGGAUGGCUUGAGUUUGGGAGAGGGAUGCGGAAUUCCAGGUGUAGCGGUGAAAUGCGUAGAUAUCUGGAGGAACACCGGUGGCGAAGGCGGCAUCCUGGACCAACACUGACGCUGAUGAGCGAAAGCCAGGGGAGCAAACGGG
rnacentral:rRNA from 1 species